rnacentral:sRNA from 1 species
AAAAUACAGUUAUGCCAGUGAAGUCCCACUCAGAGUGAUAUCUGUAUCUAAAAGAUGAGUGCUCAUCAUCCUAUUAGGCUUUGUCUUGGUGUUGUUCAUCCUGAGAUGCUGAGACAUGGAAAUAAAAAAUCAGAAGGAAUUUAGGGAUAUGAUUACUCAAAAAAGAAACUAUCCUGUCUAAAUUUGAAUUGUAUUGAUAACUAGGUGUUCCCCAGAUGCUAAGAUGUUCUUAAUUUGUAUUUAUUGAAGGAUCGUUAGCUUAGUGCCACAAAAUUUUUCAUACUUUAUGUUAAUUCCAGAUAAGAAAUUUACAAGUUUAUAUCUUUUUUUUUUUUUAAGAUGAGAUCUGGCUCUAUCACCCUGGCUAAAGUGCAGUGGCAUGAUCUAUGCUCAACCUCCACCUCCCUGGCUCAAGCGAUCCUUCCACUUCAGCCUCCCGAGUACCUGGGACUACAGGCACUCACGGCCACACCUGACUAAUUUGUGUAUUUUUUGUAGAGAUGGGGUAUCGCCAUGUUGCCCAGCUUCCUUUGAGGAACAAAAAUCAUUGUUUGCUGUACCUUUGAUCAGAAGAAAAAAGAAAAACUGAAAUUAGUGAAGUCAGUGAAGUCUUCAGUCCCAUCCUGAAUCAUUUUUACCCUCUGUUUAGGGACAGGUCUAGAACGAGUGAGCACAAAACUGAAGAGUGUGCCGAAAAUCUCAGCAAUCAAGAUAACAUUUGAACUCCAUUUUUGAAAAAAAUAAAAAUUAAUACCCACGAAAAA